rnacentral:rRNA from 1 species
GAUGAACGCUGGCGGCGUGCCUAAUACAUGCAAGUCGAGCGAACGGACGAGAAGCUUGCUUCUCUGAUGUUAGCGGCGGACGGGUGAGUAACACGUGGAUAACCUACCUAUAAGACUGGGAUAACUUCGGGAAACCGGAGCUAAUACCGGAUAAUAUUUUGAACCGCAUGGUUCAAAAGUGAAAGACGGUCUUGCUGUCACUUAUAGAUGGAUCCGCGCUGCAUUAGCUAGUUGGUAAGGUAACGGCUUACCAAGGCAACGAUGCAUAGCCGACCUGAGAGGGUGAUCGGCCACACUGGAACUGAGACACGGUCCAGACUCCUACGGGAGGCAGCAGUAGGGAAUCUUCCGCAAUGGGCGAAAGCCUGACGGAGCAACGCUGCGUGAGUGAUGAAGGUCUUCGGAUCGUAAAACUCUGUUAUUAGGGAAGAACAUAUGUGUAAGUAACUGUGCACAUCUUGACGGUACCUAAUCAGAAAGCCACGGCUAACUACGU